UUGUUAGAGAGAUAUGUUCUGUUUGCAACCAAGACAUGCCUUCGCUGUGAGCAUUCCUAUAAAUGAAAGAGGAAGGACAGUUGAAUCAGUAUAUUUGAUGAGCUGAUCUAUGCUGCCAUGGGACACUAGCAAACACCUUACCUCCAGCCACAACUCUUAAAUGCAUCUAUGGAGACAGCACUUGGAGACUUGCAAGAUGAUGUGAUGGAAUUCUGAGGCUUGAUACUGAUGUCUUUGAAUGGAGAGAGGCCUGGCACUCAAUACAUCCACCAUUUGGGACUGAACUGACAUUGGUAAUAGAACAGUGACUAUGUGUUCACUGAAACAUAUAUGGAGUCAGCACAUGAAGACUUUAAAGAUGAUGUGAUUAAGUCCGGACUGACAGAAAGGCUUGAUACCGAUUUAUCUAAUUGUAGCGAGA